AUACGUAGGUGGCGAGCGUUGUCCGGAAUUACUGGGCGUAAAGCGCAUGUAGGCGGACAUUUAAGUCAGGGGUGAAAUCCCGGGGCUCAACCUCGGAACUGCCUUUGAUACUGGGUGUCUAGAGUGUGGAAGAGGUAAGUGGAAUUCCGAGUGUAGAGGUGAAAUUCGUAGAUAUCGGGAGGAACACCAGUGGCGAAGGCGGCGAUCUGGACGAACACUGACACUGAGGCACGAUAGCUGGGGGAGC
rnacentral:rRNA from 1 species